GGCCUCGUGGCCCAAUGGCAAGGCGUCUGACUACGAUGGGUAACUAGCUUUGAAAGCUGUUUGCCAGUGCUAAUCAGGAGAUUCUGGGUUCGACCCCCAGCGAGGUCA
rnacentral:tRNA from 1 species